UCCGGUUGAUCCUGCCAGACCUGAUUGCUAUCGGAUUGGUACUAAGCCAUGCGAGUAAGUGUAGCAAUACACUGCAGACGGCUCAGUAACACGUGGUCAAGCUAACCUAUGGACGUGGAUAACCUCGGGAAACUGAGAAUAAACCGCGAUAGAUCAUGGUGCCUGGAAUGGCCCAUGGUCGAAAUAGUUUACUGCCGUAGGAUGCGACUGCGGCCUAUCAGUUUGUUGGUGAGGUAAUGGCCCACCAAGACUAUUACAGGUACGGGCUCUGAGAGGAGAAGCCCGGAGAUGGGUACUGAGACACGGACCCAGGCCCUAUGGGGCGCAGCAGGCGAGAAACCUUAGCAAUGUGCGAAAGCACGACUGGGUUAGUCCGAGUGAUUCCUGCUAAAGGAAUCUUUUGCCGGUCCUAAAAGCACCGGUGAAUAAGGGGUGGGCAAGUCUGGUGUCAGCCGCCGCGGUAAUACCAGCACCUCGAGUGAUCAGGACGUUUAUUGGGCCUAAAGCAUCCGUAGCUGGCUUUGCAAGUCUCCGGUUAAAUCAACCUGCUCAACAGAUUGGCCGCUGGAGAUACUACAAAGCUAGGGAGUGGGAGAGGCAGACGGUAUUCGGGGGGUAGGGGUAAAAUCCUCUGAUCCUCCGAGGACCACCAGUGGCGAAGGCGGUCUGCCAGAACACGUUCGACAGUGAGGGAUGAAAGCUGGGGGAGCAAACCGGAUUAGAUACCCGGGUAGUCCCAGCUGUAAACGAUGCACACUCGGUGAAGCGUUGGUUUAUGGCCAACGCUGUGCCGCACGGAAGCCGUUAAGUCUGCCGCCUGGGAAGUACGGUCGCAAGAUUGAAACUUAAAGGAUUUGGCGGGGGAGCACCACAAGGGUGAAGCCUGCGGUUCAAUUGGAUUCAACGCCGG
rnacentral:rRNA from 1 species